CGGCGACGGGUGAGUAACACGUGGAUAACCUACCUAUAAGACUGGGGUAACUUCGGGAAACCGGAGCUAAUACCGGAUAAUAUAUUGAACCGCAUGGUUCAAUAGUGAAAGACGGUUUUGCUGUCACUUAUAGAUGGAUCCGCGCCGCAUUAGCUAGUUGGUAAGGUAACGGCUUACCAAGGCAACGAUGCGUAGCCGACCUGAGAGGGUGAUCGGCCACACUGGAACUGAGACACGGUCCAG
rnacentral:rRNA from 1 species